rnacentral:rRNA from 1 species
GAGGAAUUUUGCGCAAUGGGGGUAACCCUGACGCAGCAACGCCGCGUGAGUGAAGAAGGCUUUCGGGUCGUAAAGCUCUGUCAAGUGGGAAGAACCCGCAUCAGGUCAACAGGCUGAUGCGCUGACGGUACCACUGAAGGAAGCACCGGCUAACUCCGUGCCAGCAGCCGCGGUAAUACGGAGGGUGCAAGCGUUAUUCGGAAUUACUGGGCGUAAAGGGGGCGCAGGCGGCUGAAUAAGUCAGUAGUGAAAGCCCAGGGCUCAACCCUGGAAGUGGUGCUGAAACUGUUUAGCUUGAGUAUGGUAGAGGGAAGUGGAAUUCCUGGUGUAGCGGUGAAAUGCGUAGAUAUCAGGAGGAACACCGGUGGCGAAGGCGGCUUCCUGGACCAAUACUGACGCUGAGGCGCGAAGGCGUGGGUAGCAAACAGGAUUAGAUACCCUGGUAGUCCACGCAGUAAACGGUGAUCACCAGGUGUUGCGGGUAUUGAUACCUGCAGUGCCGGAGCUAACGCAUUAAGUGAUCCGCCUGGGGAGUACGGCCGCAAGGUUA